rnacentral:tRNA from 1 species
AAGACUUUAAGUUAAGAUAAACUAAAAACCUUCAAAGUUUUAAAUAGGCAUUCCCUAAGUCUUG